AGCGAACGCUGGCGGCAGGCCUAACACAUGCAAGUCGAACGGAUCCUUCGGGAUUAGUGGCGGACGGGUGAGUAACACGUGGGAACGUGCCCUUUGGUUCGGAACAACUCAGGGAAACUUGAGCUAAUACCGGAUGUGCCCUUCGGGGGAAAGAUUUAUCGCCAUUGGAGCGGCCCGCGUCUGAUUAGCUAGUUGGUGAGGUAAAGGCUCACCAAGGCGACGAUCAGUAGCUGGUCUGAGGGGAUGAUCAGCCACAUUGGGACUGAGACACGGCCCAAACUCCUACGGGAGGCAGCAGUGGGGAAUCUUGCGCAAUGGGCGAAAGCCUGACGCAGCCAUGCCGCGUGAAUGAUGAAGGUCUUAGGAUUGUAAAAUUCUUUCACCGGGGACGAUAAUGACGGUACCCGGAGUAGAAGCCCCGGCUAACUUCGUGCCAGCCGCCGCAGUAAAAC
rnacentral:rRNA from 1 species